CCCUUAGAUGUUCUCGGCCGCACACGCGCUACACUGAAAGAGGCAACGUGUUUGCCUGAUUCGAAAGAUUUGGGUAACCCGCGAAUCUCCUUCGUGCUAGGGAUUGAGGUUUGCAAUUAUCCUUCAUGAACGAGGAAUUCCCAGUAAGUGCAAGUCAUAAGCUUGCGCUGACUACGUCCCUGCCCUUUGUACACACCGCCCGUCGCUACUACCGAUUGAAUGAUUUAGUGAGGACUUCGGACUGGGACCGAUGCGGCUUUCGGGCUGCGUCGGUAUUCUGGAAAGAUGUCCAAACUGUAUCAUUUAGAGGAAGUAAAAGUCGUAACA
rnacentral:rRNA from 1 species